GAUGAAGAACGUAGCGAAAUGCGAUAAGUAAUGUGAAUUGCAGAAUUCAGUGAAUCAUCGAAUCUUUGAACGCACAUUGCGCCCCCCAGUAUUCUGGCGGGCAUGCCUGUUCGAGCGUCAUUUCAACCAUCAAGCCCUGCUUGUGUUGGGGUCCUGCGGCUGCCCGCAGGCCCUGAAAACCAGUGGCGGGCUCGCUAGUCACACCGAGCGCAGUAGCACACCUCGCUCAGGGCGUGCGGCGGGCUCCAGCCGUUAAAGCACCCACCUUUCGCAAGGUUGACCUCGGAUCAGGUAGGAAUACCCGCUGAACUUAAGCAUAUCAAUAAGCGGAGGA
rnacentral:misc_RNA from 1 species